CAUAUCACCACACAAACUCCUUAACACAACAACACACACACAAACUAAACAGUUUACAACACAAAGAACACAAACCAACAACACAUUAAUUAACAUUAAGAUGAGAGAAACCCCAAAACACCAAAUCAUCAAGCCGUUCAUUAGUAGGACAAUUCCCACCAUGAACCAACAAACCUUCCUCACCAUCCUUAACAGCUUUAGUAAACGCACACCAACCUCGUUGGCUCGGUUUCUCCUCCUCAUUCCCACACACAAUCCUCUCCCACACUAACGUCUCAGUAUCAAGCUUGUAAACCUCACCACACAUCU
rnacentral:lncRNA from 1 species